rnacentral:rRNA from 1 species
UACGAAGGGGGCUAGCGUUGCUCGGAAUGACUGGGCGUAAAGGGCGCGUAGGCGGUUUGCACAGUCAGGCGUGAAAUUCCUGGGCUUAACCUGGGGGCUGCGCUUGAUACGUGUGGACUGGAGUGCGGAAGAGGGUCGUGGAAUUCCCAGUGUAGAGGUGAAAUUCGUAGAUAUUGGGAAGAACACCGGUGGCGAAGGCGGCCCCCUGGGCUAACACUGACGCUCAGGCACGAAAGCGUGGGGAGCAAACAGG